rnacentral:misc_RNA from 1 species
ACGAAUUGAAGUCAAUCGUCUGUGCUGGCGCAACCAUGCAUGUGCACGUCGGUUGGCAUACAAUCCACACACCUUGUGCACACCUAGACCACAGAGCGGUUCGUCGGGAUCCUUUCGGGUCUCUGGCUUGAGCAACUCUGUUGGUACUUUUUUCACACACUCGUAUGUGAUUGGGAUGUCCAAGUGCUCUUAAGCACGAUAAAAGUUAAAA